GCCAACGGCCAUAGCGUGCUGGUCACACCGGUUCCCGUACGAUCACCGAAGUUAAGCAUUAUUAUUAUUAUUAUUAUUAUUAUUAUUAUUAUUAUCU
rnacentral:rRNA from 1 species